CACUAAGAGGGUAAAAAGAUUGUUUUUAGGUUCGCCGACUGAUUUUUCUUAGUGAUGCACUUGAAAAUCUCUUGAUUAAGGCAAAGACACGAAUAUUGAAUGUGCGGAAUUUAAUUCUAAACCAUUUGAGAAUAUCGAUGUCGGCUGAAUUAAUCAUUAAGCAAUGUACAGAUGAUCAACUUACCGUUUAAUUCAGUAUACCCAUCAAGUUUAAAAUGUGAUCCAAAAAGUUCUCGCUUCGAAAAUCGCGACUUCCGGAUAGCGUACAGAAUAGUAUCUACACUGUGAAUAAAAUACAUAC
rnacentral:lncRNA from 1 species